rnacentral:lncRNA from 1 species
ACAUGGAGGUUCCUAGGCUAGGGGUUGAAUCAAAGCUACAGUCACCAGCCUACACCCCAGGCACAGCAACAUCAGAUCCGAGCCUCGUCUGUGACCUACCCCACAGCUCAUGGCAACACUGGAUCCUUAACUCACUGAGCAAGGGCAGGGAUCAAACUGCAACCUCAUGGUUCCUAGCCAGAUUCCUUUCUGCUGUGCCACCAGACAGGAACUCCCAGAAUAAUGUUUUCAAAUGUAUAAAAUAAAAAUAUACACAGUUGCAAAGAAACCAAUUACACUGAAAUGCAGUUCUAUUACUAAGACCUCCCUGAGAGAAGCUGCUAGGAUAAUAAAGCAAAAUGGGGAAAGCAAGACCAGUUUACUCCCAGAUGCUUCCACCAGAGGUAACCUAACCGAAGACAAAUGUAUUUGCCUUGCCCGAUAGAGGAACAAACUAACUCAAGAAAACUUGAUUUAAAAGUGAAGUGGCUGAUUGUCUAUUUCCUAAUAAAGCACUGUAAUCAAAAAUACUCAGUGUUGUACUUCAACAGUGCUUCAUUUAUCAAAUGUUUCCAGAACAUCCAAUCCAUUUCUUAAUUUCUGUUUACUCUUUCAUCACCUCCCCCACCCACCCCUGCUUUAUUCUAAUCUUUGAUCUAAGUCUUAGAUGUUGACAAAGGAUUUGGCUUAUCCUGACUCGCUGCACAGGAUUCCAUCACCUCCCUAUUAAUGAAGCAAACAGCACUAAAAGGGAUCUAACAUAAGUAUUCUCUAUGUGAACUGUAACUGUGACAUCAAGAGCCUCAUAGAUUGCUUGACUGCACACCUCAUCAUUCGUGGUAAUUCAUCCACUGGGCUUGAUUUGGUGGGGGGAAGCAACGGUUUCUGACGUGACAAAUCCAACACCCAUCACAAUUCAGCAUCUUUAUGGAAAAUAUUCGACAGAUGUCUAUGUGCAUCCAUGCCACGGAGUGUGGUCCCUGCACCAUAUCUUCAUUUGGGAAACUCCCCGAACACCCGUUUAAUAAAAGCCAAGGGCUUAAAUAUCUCCAGACCCUGGAGACAGAAAUAUUUUCUCUUCUCAGUAAUUGUUUUCUGCCCAAAGAACUCAAUCAGCUGUAUCUGCCAUAUAAUAGUUUCAGAAAAAAAAAAAAAACUAUCGUAUUUCUUGCAUUACGAUGUACUUUCUGAUAAUUAAUAUCAGUUCAUGUAAACAUUAAAAUGCAUUACCUUUUACCCUUCCAAAUGAAGUCUCAAUAAACUUGGUCUUUCUCUCUUUCUUACAGACACACACACACACCUUUAACUAGCACCUUCUCGCCCUUUACAUCUAGAGUAGAGAGAGAGGAAUAAGAAAUUAAAAAAUAUUAGAUAUUGCCUUUUGACGUGACUGCUAAUAUAAUAAAGCCACAUCGUAAACUGAAUCAUCGGAGUCUGCUGUUCGUACUGCUCUCUUUGCUGGUAUUGCUUCAUGGAUAUUAGAACCCUUAGGGAUAUUGGAAUAUGAAUAAAGAUUUUUUUUUAAAUCAGCUGGGUUUUUUUUUCCUCUUGGUUCUGUUUCUAAAAAUAAUGCAGUUUGCAAAAAACAGAAGGUUUGGUUUAUAACACAAACAAAAUUGUUACAUUCUGAAUGGGUUGUAAGUACCUGAUUCUUUGCCUUUUUACUCAUCCCUGCAAAAAAAAAAAAAAAAAAUCUGCAAAUCCAUUUGCUAACCAGCUGUACCUCUGCCUGAAUCUCAUAGCUUUUUUUAAAUGCUAAUGACAAGAAACAUUUCCGAAGCCAAAACGCUCUUGUAGAUCUGUCUUCCUCUAUUAUGACUGAUAUUUGCUUGUAAGUACAUAGAACACUUGUUCCCCGUCCCUUAUCUGCGGCGCUGCAGCAUGCUGACCUACAUACCAUUCAGCACAAUAUGAUGCACAAACAUCUUCUAUAUAAUUUUUCAUUUUCGACUUAAAAACAGUAGAGGCAAAAUAGGAUUGCUGCAAAUCUAACAAAGAGAUGGCAUUAUUUCCAAAUAAAAAUGUGCAUUUUUCCAAAGAAUUUAUUUGUCUAGCAGCAUGAAGUUCAGACAUAGCAAUGCUGGGGAAAGGGUGUUAAAUUACGAUUAGGAAGGAAGGACUUAGGGAGGGAAACAAAACCCAUCUUUUCUACUCCCUGAGCAUAAUUAAGCUAACUUCUUUCUCACCACAAUUAAAAGUUCAGCUUUUCUGAACCGUGUUUUUGCAGUGUCACGAAAUGCAGCAGAUCGAAUAAUGCUGAAAUACAUACAAUAUUAACAAAGGAAGAAGGGAAGAACGUGACAGGGAGAGCUAUGGAAAGGGAAGAAAUCAUCUAUUCUCACACCUGCCAUUGUCGGAACACUCCAAACCAAGUUGUUUAUCUUUAUAAUUUCUUGCUGCUAUGGCUGCCAUGUUGAAAUGAUACUUGGGUUUCCAGCAAAACUGUUCAUAGCUGCAAGUGGAGUCCUUAAGCUGGAGGUUAUCUGAUGACCUAGCCUCUAUAAUGCUCUGCCAGACCAUUGUAAUUGCAAAUACAGUUGAGCCACGGAAAAAGGACUGUUUUUCUAGGACAGCACACAAAAGAGAUCAGCGAAGGUGCCAACAAGGUCAAAGGGCAAAGAGGGUGAAACCCCUCAUUAACUGGGAACACGGCUGGAAAUCUCCACUCUCACACUGCCUUCCCUCUGCCACUGAAGAGGUGGUUUACAAGUGCACCUCGGUUUAAUUUUUAAUGAUAAGCUGUCUUUGUUUUCCAAGUUUGAUGCGUCUGAAACAACUGGAAAAUCCCCAAGUAAGAUUAAAAGGACUUGAGUUGUGGCCCAAAUGACCUCUUUCCUUGCACGCUAAGUAAUUUGCUUCCUAAUUGUUUUGAGGGGACUUGAGUAAGAGGGCCGCAACAAAUACUUUUGCCACCAUUGUUGGAUGUUGACAAUAGGUUUUAAGCAUGAUUCACCUCUCUGAAUCAUUAUUUCAUAGUGCUCUACAAGGAGAGCAACCUUUUGCAAAGAGGUAGCAGUUAUCUGAAUUUCACCAGCUAGAAGCCUCUUUUCCAAAAAGCCAAGUCAAAGAUAAAAUGAAUUUUCACACUUUUUGCAGUUUUGCAGUUAUUCUGCUUUAAUUGUUUGCACCAGCCAAAUCUACCCAUCAGCUGCCAGACCCCCGCUUAUUUGUGAGCAGUGUUAACCCAGGAUUUCACAAUUUCUGCGUGAUGUGGGGAACAGAACAUUCUGCCGAGAGUCUGGAGACCCAGUGUUUUUAUCCUGGCUCUGCCACAAACUAGCUGUGUGACUUUGAGCAAGUCACUUGACCUCUCUGAACCUGUUUAUCUGGAGUUUGGCGUAGUUAAAUGAUAAGAGCUCUUCUGGCUGUGACAUUUGACAACUGGCUCCCCAUAUAUCCUUUUCAUUUGGGACCACUUAUCUCACCACUGUUGGCUCGUGUUAACUGCUAAAUACCAUAGAACCAUUUUCUAAGUGCUUAUUUCAGAUGAUACUGAAAGCUCUAGGAAAACCUUGUCUUUCGGCAUUACCAUAGAUAUGCUUAAGUGAUAACCAGCCCCCACUUUACUAUCCAUUGCUAAUGGCAACGCGUUACACUCCCACACGAGCACCCUAGGUCUAACUUAUUAAUGGUCUAUGCUAAUGCAAUUUCCAGAAAGUAUGUUGUUAUUAAAUUUUCUGGAAUUUCAACACAGCAAAACAACAUAUAACUGCUUGAUAAAUUACUUUGAAUAGAUUUAGUAAUUUGUGUAAGGGUGGCUCUCAUUUAUGUAAGAAGCCUAAAUCCAUUUAAAGUUAAUUUCUAAUUUUCUUAUAUUUAUGUCAUUCAGAAAUACACUGCUGGUCCAGGAGCAAUCUCUCCAAAACCCAAGUGAACUAUUAAUUUUAUUUGGGUUAAAGCAUAAAAUGUUAACAGUGUACAGAAUCCACAAUUUGCCAGUUACUCUUCACAACUCCUUCCAAAUAUCGUCUAUGAACUUUUUUCUCACAGAGAUUUUGUAUAGCAUCUCUGUUUUUUAUCUUAAAUUCGAGGCAAAAGAUAAAUGGGUUUAUUAAAUGAAAGUUCCUAGCAAAUAUCAAAUUAACAUAAAAAUUUUCAUGGACUAAGCAAUCUGUGUUUUAUACUGCUUUCAAUGAUUUGGAUGAAAAUAUAGUCAAAAAUUCUGGGUCUCCUUCCUUAAGAUUCUAUUUAUAAAAUACACCCAAAUGAAGAUUCUACUUCCUCAUUGUCAUGUUACUUAAAAAUAAUCACCUUGUCGUUGAAUUCUGUCUGAACUAUGCUAGGCACCAUAGGUAGGGCCAUUUAUACAGUCAUAACUGCUGCCCAUAAAAAACAGGGGGUUGACAGUAAGAUGGAUAAACCCACACCGAACACAUAGAUUAUGAACUAUAAGCAUCGAAUAUUAUUCCUACAAGAAAUGUAAAAGUUACACAUGCACACACUCACAUACACUUACACACACACACACACACACAAAUACACAUCAAGGAUAGCAAUAGAGGUCAGUGAUUUAAAACUGACGCAAAGGCAAAUUGAUAUUUCUGUGAGGGGACAAUGUCUUACAGAAUUUGGAAGUCUGUAAAGAAGUUGGAAAGCAGGAGUUCCCGUCAUGGUGCAGCAGAAACGAAUCUGACUAGGAACCAUGAGGUUGCAGGUUCAAUCCCUGGCCUCGCUCAGUGGGUUAAGGAUCCAACCUUGCCAUGAGCUGUGGUGUAGGUCGAAGACGUGGCUCGGAUCUGGCGUUGCUAUGGCUGUGGUGUAGGCCAGCAGCAACAGCUCUGAUUAGACCCCUAGCCUGGGAACUUCCAUAUGCCACAGGUGCAGCCCUAAAAAGACAAAAGACAAAGAAAAAAAAAGAAUUUAAAGUUGGAAAGCAAGUGAGAUGGCUGAUUUUUACUUUGUUUUAAACAAAUUCAUUUAUCUAUUCAUUUAUUGGGUUCUUACUAUGUGCCAAACAGCAUGUUUUGCUAAGUUCAAUAUAAUUCAUGAGAGAAAUAAAAUGCUCAGAAAAGAAAUCACUCUAAUUCCUAAAGCACAUUCAUGGUAAAAUUUGCAAACCAAGUGCAAUGAAUAAGCUGUUACAUUUUUAAUAAAAUAUCUUACAUCUGAUUUUUAAAAUCAAAGAGAAAUUAAGGAGGUACUACCUUAACUGUUUUCUCAUGUUACAACUUGAAAUAUUUCAAAAAAGUUUUUGUAGUAAACACAUGAUGUAUUGCAUUUAACUUUGAAGAUGCAACUAAUCUGGUAACUCUAGAUUAUCUGAUAGUAAAUGAUCCAAAUCACUGUCAGGCUUAAUAUUCAACUUGGACAUCUACUUCUGAGCAAAACUGGCCAUUUUGAGUUUAGCGGAGAGGUAACUAAGAAGGGUCAUGCUCCAAGCAAGGUACAGCAAAAUAAAAGCUGAGGACAUGACAAUUAAAGUUGCAUUUCCCAAAGCUCUCAUGUGGUGCAGAAGGUUGAGGAUCCAGUGUUGCCAUAGCUGUGGCACAGGUUGCAACUGCCUAUGGCAGGGCUUUGCUUCCUGGCCAGGGAAUUUUCAUAUGCCAAGAGUGCAGCCAGGAAAAAAAAAAAGUUGCAUUUCCACAUCAUUUCAAUUUAGUGACCUUGAGUCUGGAGACAACACAUUAGGUGACAUCAGGAACCCUUCUGUAUCCCUUCCACAGUUAUACUGAGAAAACCUCAUCCCAAGGUUAUCUCAGGAUAUGAGUGAUCACACAUCCCAUUUACUCAGAGCAUCCCAGUUUACUCGUGUGAUCCCAGCAUAAUGAUUAAUAGCUGCCACUCACACUUUCAAACAGCUUUCAAACAGGCCAUGGUUAGGGAUGAUUAAUUACGCAGGUCCCCUAACCAUAAUACAAUCUAUGAUACACACUCCAAGCCCUGCUACAGUAGAACAAACUCCAGUCCUGACCCGGCACUAGAAAUGUGGCAGUCUGUUGGAAUUUAUCAUCCUCCUCCCCCAUGAAAUGGACACAUUCUUUAAAGACAACAGCUGAACAAGCUACCCUGUCUGAUUCAUGGAUGUGACUUGUAGGCAUAUGUCCUGUCGAACCCUAAACUUUUCUCUGCUAGAGCCCACUGAAUUCACCAAAAAUUCCCAGGAUGAGCUGCGCUCUAUUGGAUUCUGCACAAAACCUGACUGUUAAGACUACUUAAGAGUAGAAAAUGUAUCUUAUGCCCCUUGAUGUCUUCCAAUGCCUUUAGCAUUCAGCCCGCUUGUAAGAACCACUCAAUAAACGUUUGUUGAAACGCCUGAAACAUUUGGUCAAAACACCUGGAUGAAUGGCCUAAUUCUUUACUUUCUUUCCAGCUAUUUAUCAUUAUGUAGAUCCAAAGAAAUCCAGAAAACAGACAAAUGCCAGGCCUGAGCAUGUCCGUGGGGAGAAGUGCCCAGGUGCACAUGAAAGGAAGUAACAUCCAUACUUAAACCUUUGCUUCCCUCCUGGUAACUUCUCAAUCUAUCUUCAUGUUCUUUUCUAAAGGCAACUAAUUGGCCACAUUCUACGACCUAGAUAUUCUAGAGGUAGGAGCCAGGUCUUUCCCAACGAACCCAUCAACAAAACAGUUGUUUCCACCUGAAUCUCCUGGACAAUAAAGUCAGGGUUCAAAACAGAGCCUUGCUAAAUAAAUAUCAGUACUUGCUGUUCCCUUGUACAGUAUUUCUGGAAGUCAUGGAGAGAACAGCCAAAGAGAUGGGAGAAUACAGAGGAAAUAACAAAAGAUGUAUAAAAGAAUUUUUUGCUCAUUCCAACUUUAGAAAAAAGUUGAAGUCUGUCAAGUUAUCAGCAGGAAUUGCAGUAUGUGAAUCAACCCUUAGAAAUUGUGCUUCACUGUUUUGCCCUCAGUUUUCACAUUCACAAAUUUUAAUUCAUGAUUUUUCAAAUCACAUCUUUAGCACAUUUGUGAUUUUUUUUCUUUUUCGGAUCACCCAAGCAGACUAAAUAAAUGCAAUGACUGUGCCUAAUAGCUUUUAUGAACCUACCACAUGGGAAAGAGUCAGAACUGUCAUAUAAUUUGGCAUCAUCUGGUAAGGAAAAGAGUUUCUACAGCAUCCAUCUAUCUUUGAAAAACAACAAAAAAGCAAAGUAGAUUCAAGCUGGAAAGAAGGGAUAGAAAGAAUGGGGCCCUGGAUACCAGACUCCACUCUCACAUGAUGUGUUCUUUGGGAAGGUUUGAGUCUGGGAGUUUUCUCCUUUCAUCGGACAACAUAAAAGUUGUUUCAGCAAGAAGCAGGGAACAAAGGAAGACUUUCAUUUACAAAAACAAGUAUUACAGCACAGUGUCUGUUAGGAACUUUUAUUUAUGCUGCACCUGGCAUUAUUUUUAACCGUCUGUGAGCCAACUCUGACAAGGAGAUAGUGCGUUUCUGCAUCCAACACAUAGACCUUUGUCAUGUAUGUGUGAACCUCAGGCUCCUGUCAGCAAUCCUGGUCUUGACUGCAGGACUCCAGAGGAGAGCAGGUGGACUUGCACUCUUGGUAGAGACCCCCCUGUCUCCCAGCUUCUACAGGUAAGGAGGAUUGUCACCAGGAACGCUGGUCUGAGCCCUCUACAGUUUGUGUCAGCUCACAGUUGCCAUUGACAAAGCUCAGUGCUUCCCUAUCACCAGGUAAAAUGGUCUUUGAAAUAGCCUUGCAAACAGCAAAUGAACAAAGCCGAAUUGAGGAAAUCUUUUCAUUCAGUGCAUAGCUCCUCCUGGUCAAGGCAAGAUUUUGGAUUUUUUAAUUGUAAAAUCUCUUAACUUCAUCUAAAGCAUUAUCCUUCUUUUUUUUUUUUCAGUCAAAGCAAAUAGAUACGUGGUUAUGUCUUGCUCUACUAAGGAUAGCAAAUCCAGUUGUUGAG